GAUGAACGCUGGCGGCGUGCUUAACACAUGCAAGUCGAACGAAGCACUCUAUUUGAUUUUCUUCGGAAAUGAAGAUUUUGUGACUGAGUGGCGGACGGGUGAGUAACGCGUGGGUAACCUGCCUCAUACAGGGGGAUAACAGUUGGAAACGACUGCUAAUACCGCAUAAGCGCACAGUAUUGCAUGAUACAGUGUGAAAAACUCCGGUGGUAUGAGAUGGACCCGCGUCUGAUUAGCUAGUUGGUGGGGCAACGGCCUACCAAGGCGACGAUCAGUAGCCGACCUGAGAGGGUGACCGGCCACAUUGGGACUGAGACACGGCCCAAACUCCUACAGGAGGCAGCAGUGGGGAAUAUUGCACAAUGGGGGAAACCCUGAUGCAGCGACGCCGCGUGAACGAAGAAGUAUUUCGGUAUGUAAAGUUCUAUCAGCAGGGAAGAUAAUGACGGUACCUGACUAAGAAGCACCGGCUAAAUACGUGCCAGCCGCCGCGGUAA
rnacentral:rRNA from 1 species